AACUGCUGUGAUUCCUCCAGAAACACUUAUACUUUAAAACGAAAGAACACUUGUGUCUCAGAAAACACGUCAGCUACAAGUUCUUGGAGGCUGGGAGAGCAGCAGUGUCCAGCCCUGCAAGUUUGCCUUGCUCCAUACUGUGUCUGUAUUGCCACUGAAAAGUCAAAGUGACCAAACUUCUGCUUCAGACACCCUCUACUGGAAAGCAUCAAGUUUAUAUCUCUGCUCCUGAUGUAACUGAGCAUGCAGGAGGAAGUGGGGAAGCAUGAACAUUUAGCUGCCAGAAGAGACUGGUAUCUAUUCCAUAGAUCAUUGUCUUGAAUUUCACAACAGGAAAAGAUUUGAUGAAUAAGUGCAUCUGACUUUUUUGAUGACGAGGAGCAAAAAGGACUCUGUUCAGAAUUACACAGCAACAUCCCUUUAGCAUCACACCAGACCUCGUAGAUUUCUCUGGAAAGGUACAAGUGUCAUAAACUAUCAGCAAGUAAAAAUAGGGACUGAAAUUAAAAAAAAAAACAUGAUACACACAAGGAGUAACCUGACUUAUUUGCCC
rnacentral:lncRNA from 12 species